rnacentral:rRNA from 1 species
CCUACGGGAGGCAGCAGUGGGGAAUUUUGGACAAUGGGCGAAAGCCUGAUCCAGCCAUGCCGCGUGCAGGAUGAAGGCCUUCGGGUUGUAAACUGCUUUUGCACGGAACGAAAAGGUCUUUUCUAAUAAAGAAGGCUCAUGACGGUACCGUAAGAAUAAGCACCGGCUAACUACGUGCCAGCAGCCGCGGUAAUACGUAGGGUGCGAGCGUUAAUCGGAAUUACUGGGCGUAAAGCGUGCGCAGGCGGUUAUAUAAGACAGUUGUGAAAUCCCCGGGCUCAACCUGGGAACUGCAUCUGUGACUGUAUAGCUAGAGUACGGUAGAGGGGGAUGGAAUUCCGCGUGUAGCAGUGAAAUGCGUAGAUAUGCGGAGGAACACCGAUGGCGAAGGCAAUCCCCUGGACCUGUACUGACGCUCAUGCACGAAAGCGUGGGGAGCAAACAGGAUUAGAUACCCUGGUAGUCCACGCCCUAAACGAUGUCAACUGGUUGUUGGGUCUUCACUGACUCAGUAACGAAGCUAACGCGUGAAGUUGACCGCCUGGGGAGUACGGCCGCAGGUUGAAACUCAAAUGAAUUGACGG